rnacentral:rRNA from 1 species
UACGUAGGGUGCAAGCGUUGUCCGGAAUUAUUGGGCGUAAAGCGCGCGCAGGUGGUUUCUUAAGUCUGAUGUGAAAGCCCACGGCUCAACCGUGGAGGGUCAUUGGAAACUGGGAACUUGAGUGCAGAAGAGGAAAGUGGAAUUCCAAGUGUAGCGGUGAAAUGCGUAGAGAUUUGGAGGAACACCAGUGGCGAAGGCGACUUUCUGGUCUGUAACUGACACUGAGGCGCGAAAGCGUGGGGAGCGAACAGG